rnacentral:rRNA from 1 species
AUUGAACGCUGGCGGCAGGCCUAACACAUGCAAGUCGAGCGAACCUAGCUUGCUAGGUGAGCGGCGAACGGGUGAGUAACACGUAGGAAUCUGCCCGAUAGUGGGGGACAACGUCUCGAAAGGGACGCUAAUACCGCAUACGCCCUACGGGGGAAAGCAGGGGACCUUCGGACCUUGCGCUAUCGGAUGAGCCUGCGUCGGAUUAGCUAGUUGGUGGGGUAAAGGCCUACCAAGGCGACGAUCCGUAGCUGGUCUGAGAGGAUGAUCAGCCACACCGGAACUGAGACACGGUCCGGACUCCUACGGGGGCAGCAGUGGGGAAUAUUGGACAAGGGGGGCAACCCUGAUCCAGCCAUGCCGCGUGUGUGAAGAAGGCCUCCGGGUUGUAAAGCACUUUAAGCUGGGAGGAAGGUUCGCUGGCUAAUAUCCAGCGGAAUUGACGUUACCAGCAGAAUAAGCACCGGCUAACUCCGUGCCAGCCGCCGCAGUAA